CCCUUAGAUGUUCUGGGCCGCACGCGCGCUACACUGACUGCUCCAACAAGUUACCUGGGCUGACAAGCAUCCGGGAAAUCUUGCAAAGGCAGUCGUGAUGGGGGUAGAUUCUUGUAAUUUUUGAUCUUCAACGAGGAAUUCCUAGUAAACGCAAGUCAUCAGCUUGCAUUGAUUACGUCCCUGCCCUUUGUACACACCGCCCGUCGCAUCUACCGAUUGAAUGGAGAGGCAAAAUCUUCGGACCGUGACGCUUGGGAGUCAAAUCUCGGGCUGUCGUGGGAAGUGGAUUAAACCUUUCUAUUUAGAGGAAGGUAAAGUCGUAACA
rnacentral:rRNA from 1 species